rnacentral:lncRNA from 1 species
UGGGGAGUGCUGGGGCUGGGGCUGCCCAGGACACAGCUGGGAUGGCUGAAAGGAACAGGGAUCAAGGUGGGGAUGGGGAGCGAGCUGCGGGGCUGCCCCACUCUGCUCUGAUACUUCUGGACAGGGACAUCCUCAACCAAUCCACAUUCACUUCCCUUUGUGUUUUGGUGGCACAGUGCAGUGAGCUGCACAAGUGCCUGUCCUUACUGCUACAAGUCUUGCAAAAUGCUGGGCCUCGGUCUUUCUUAGUCUGGUCACUACAAGUCUGGGAGCAAGGUGGACUGUGCGCAUGCAUGAGAGCAAAAAUUUUGGGGUCUAGCCAUGGCAGCAGCAAUGGGGUGAAAGUCUCUCCACUCUGGUCAUUCAUUCCUUUUGCUUUUCUAUAUCAGCAAAAAAGGAUGCAGAGCUGGGUAAGUCUCCUUCCCCAAAGAGAAGGCAUUUGGUGUCUUCCCACAAGCAUACUCCCCUCUGACCUUACAUUGCUUUUGUUUUUCUUUUUCUUUUCCAGGGAAACAAGCUGCAGAGAUAGAGGGAAAAGAUGCAGGACUGGGUGAGUCUCUAUUCCUCCCCCCAACUGAAGGAAUUGGGGUCUUUGGUUUGUAGCAGUCGUUGUUGAUAAACUGACUGCUCUCAUCGAUGCAUUGCUUUUCUCUUUCGUUUGUAGAUGAACAAGCUGCAGAGCUGGGUAAGUCUCACUCUAUAAACAGAAAAAAAGAACGAAAAAAAAGGCAUCAUAGUGACAGGUAUGGAAUCAGAAACUAUGCCUUCUUCUCAUGUUUUCCUUUUCCCUUUCAUUUGUAGAGAAUCAAGCUGCAGAGCUGGGUAAGUCUACCGGUGCUGAAGCCCAAGGGAAUGUGCAGGGGAGGGUGGGCAGCUGGGACAGAGCAGCCCAGGGCUGGCCCCUCACCCUGCCCACACCCACUGGGCACCAGCUGUGGCCUGUUAGCAGCUCUCACCUCUCCUUCCAGCAUGGAGAAAUCUUCUGCUGCCUCACAAUACAGGUAGGUGUGCAUUGGGUUGCCCUCUGAGGUGCU